rnacentral:rRNA from 1 species
GAUGAACGCUGACAGAAUGCUUAACACAUGCAAGUCGAUGGGGAAGUGGUGCUUGCACCCUGGUAACCACGGCGGACGGGUGAGUAACGCGUAAGGAACUUGCCUGCGGGACUGGGAUAACAGCAGGAAACUGCUGAUAAUACCGGAUAAGGUCAUUAAGCUGCAUAGCUUAGUGAUGAAAGGGGACGCCUGCGGAGAGCCUUGCGUCCUAUUAGCUAGUUGGAGGGGUAACGGCCCACCAAGGCGAAGAUAGGUAGCCGGCCUGAGAGGGUGGACGGCCACAAGGGGACUGAGAUACGGCACUUACGCCUACGGGAGGCAGCAGUGGGGAAUAUUGGACAAUGGGGGCAACCCUGAUCCAGCAAUUCUGUGUGCACGAAGACGGUUUUCGGAUUGUAAAGUGCUUUCAGCAGGGAAGAAGGAAGUGACGGUACCUGCAGAAGAAGCGACGGCUAAAUACGUG